rnacentral:rRNA from 1 species
AACGAACGCUGGCGGCAUGCCUAACACAUGCAAGUCGAACGAUGCUUUCGUGCAUAGUUGCGCACGGGUGCGUAACGCGUGGGAAUCUGCCCUUGGGUUCGGGAUAACAGUGAGAAAUUGCUGCUAAUACCGGGUGAUGUCUGCGGACCAAAGAUUUAUCGCCCAGGGAUGAGCCCGCGUAGGAUUAGCUAGUUGGUGGGGUAAUGGCCUACCAAGGCGACGAUCCUUAGCUGGUCUGAGAGGAUGAUCCGCCACACUGGGACUGAGACACGGCCCAGACUACUACGGGAGGCAGCCGUGGGGAAUAUUGGAAAAUGGGCGCAAGCAUGAUCCCGCAAUGCCGCGUGAGUGAUGAAGGCCUUAGGGUUGUAAAGCUCUUUUACCCGGGAUGAUAAUGACAGUACCGGGAGAAUAAGCUCCGGCUAACUCCGUG